AAGGGCAAAGGGGUAGGAUUACAAAGGAACAGGUGAGUGUAACUCAGCCUCAGCAGGUGACAUCUACUCCUGGAGCCAUGCUUUGUUAUCUGAGCUGGGUAACACCCAAGUCACUGUGACCUGGCCCUGCUGUGCCAGACUGAAGGCAGUAAUUGUUCAGAACUCAGUGCGUCAGGACUUAAAGGUGUCUGCAUCCAGGGCAGCUCCCGACAAUCUUCCAAAUUGCCUGGUAUCCUCAAGCAGAGGCAGAUCAUAUGCAGGCACCGUGGUUCCACGGCCUAUGACCCAUGGUGCUCUGGCUAGGGAGGGCUGUGGAUUCCUUGGUCAGUCACUCUCACUAUUCUCUGAGCUUAGAUCCCCCAAAUUGCUGCGGAAACCACACAUUUCCAAGCAAAACCAUUUUUUAAAAAAAUAUUUUUGAGUCUCUUUUUUUUCGGGCACGUGCACCCAUCUCCCGCAUGCUUAGGAAUCCUCAUCAGACGAUGAAACUCAACCUGUCUUCUGCAGCGGGCCACCCCCAAGGCCAGCAGUCCACCGCUCCGGCCUCCUUCUCUCUGUGGUGCUUUGGGCUUGCACGAUGGAGCACGGGCAUGGGGCUGGCUACAGGAGCCUGCCUGACACUGGUUAAAGUAUCUGCUGGAAAAUUUACUUUGCAAUUUCCUGAGCUUUCAGGGUCAGAAGUGGGUAGAAACCCCAGAUGGGAGGAAAAUCUAUUCACUUUCAAGUGGGAGGAAAAUAAGAAGCAGAUAGGCUUGAGUGGGGGCAGGCUGUACCUUCUGAGCUCAGGCUUUCUUAGGAAGCAGACACUCACCUUCUCCUGAGAUGAUUGUCUUAUUCCAAACAGGACCACCCAGGUAGGGGGGAGUGGUAUUCAAAUUCCCCCUCCCCUAACAUUGCUCGGAGAAGGGAAUGGAACCCUUUAGGUGGGCUCUGCAUUAGUGUCUUUGACCAUCUUCAUCAGUUUUAUUCACUGAUAUGUUUUCAGUACCUGGAACAGCGCCCAACACACAGUAGGUGCUUAGCGAAUAUUUGUUCAGUGUAAAAAUGACUAUUUCUGUUGCCUGAGUUCUCUCUAAAAAUUCCUGUCAACUAGCUGACUCUGCAUCAAUGCCCAAAAUGGAGGUUAAAAAAUAGGGAAGGAAGCUUUGAUCUCUGGACAGAAUUGAAGAGAAAAAUAAACUGGGGUGUCUGGAAGAAUAGGCGAGAGUCAAUGUGGCUGUGCGGGUUGUUUGGGGGAUUUCCCGUAGAGCGUCUGACAGGGGACAGGCAAGGGUCAGGAGUUUUCCCCCCGCAGCCUUUGAAGUUGACAUCUCUCUCUGAACUCUGUCCUCAGAGAAGAUUUUGCACUUUUUGCUUCAAAGCCAAAGCUUUCAUCCUAAGGUAGACGGUCUCCUCUCUCUUCUCUUCCACGUGUGCUACUUCUGUUCUCUCCAUUUUCCUUACCCUACAAUUCUCCUUAAUUACUAGUUCCAGUCCUCGGCAGGAAGACUGGGUCUUUGCAAAAAUAAAAUCCAUUUUCUAAGUUCUUCCUUAUCACGUUCACAUGUCCACAGUUUUCAUGAGCCAGAACAUGACUCAAGCUGGGAAGUCAGAACCGUGACUUUCAAAAAAAAAAAUGCAUAGCAUCUGCUUAACUCAAAACUCGGUCUGACUCUGCAACCAGGGCCUGGAGAUAGUUGGGAGAAUUUAUGUUCCCCUUCUGGCAGCUGCAAUUUGUCACUCCUGUUAGCACCUGGAGUAGGUAAUAACUCUGCUAAUGAUCUGAGGGGUUGCAUCUCCCAAUUAGCAUGUGAGGCUUAAAGAUCACUUCUCACCUUAAAAGUAUCCCGUGGCUUCUCUCCCUCUAUGCAUACUUAGAGGAUGCAUCACGUAUUUGCACAAAGUUUGAUUUCUUUAGCUAGAGAAAGAACUGGGAACGCAGAGAUGACUUCCUGGUAUCUUCUGCAGCUCUCUGCACUGACCAUACAGAUCCUCUGGGUGUUUAGCCCUGGGUGGCAAAUCAGGGCUUCAGAGCCACAAACAAGGCAAAGGGGAAGAGACGAGGGGAGGGGGAACUGGAGGAAAAAAAUCUACAAGAGGAGGAAGGAGGUGAGGUGGGGACAUGCAUCAGCCAGCUCAGUUGUCUUCUGUGUGUCAGCUUCAGGAUGCUGCCCUGUCCUCCGAAGACCUCCACUGCUGGCCCUGGGUGAUUCUAUCCUCAUACUUGAAAAGACACUGGUUGGCUAGUGUCUGUUCCCUGUCUUAUUGGAGUGUUCCUGGGGUUCAAGUGUGUACCUCACUGGGCUGGGAGACGAGGUCCAGGAUGGAAAAGCCCAACUCUGCAGAAACGGUGACAAUAAAUUGGUCACAGUCCACUGUGGCCCAAUGAUGGAUAUCACCUAAAUAUGAAAAUCAGUUUCUGAGCCAGAAGUUCAGUUGCAGCUCUGCAGAUUUCUUUUUACAACCGUUGAACAACAUAUAUGUACUAGUCUUGUCUUAUGACGUCAGUUCUGCCCUGGCCCAGCUUCAGAGCUCCAUUUCAUAAGCCCAAAGGAUGCCUGUAAGUACACUGGGCCUGGGUCUGUGGCUGUUAUGGUUCAUAUCUAGAAUAUUCCUCCCCAAACUUAUGUGUUAGGAAAUGCAGCAACAUUCAGAAACAAAAAGGUUGGACCAUGAAGUUUAUAACCUCAUUAGUGGAUUAAUCCACUUGAUGGAUUAAUAAUUCAAAUGAACCACUGGGUGGUAGCUGGAGGCAGGUGGGGUGUGGCUGGAGGAAGGAGGUCACUGGAGACAUGGCCUUGGGGACUAUGUCUGUCCCUGGCCCCUUCUUCUCUCUCUCUCUGCCUCUUGGCCGCCAUAAACUGAGCAGCCUUUCCCACCCUGCCUUCCUGCCAUGAUGUUUCUGCAGUGGAGUCACCAACUGUGGACUGAGAACUCUAAAACCAUGAGCCAAAGUAAAUCUUCCCUCCUCUCAGUUGUUCUUGACCGGCAUUUUGGUCGCAGCAACCAAAAGUGGCCCGGGUUGGCCUUACCUUUUGCAUCUUUCUGAGGUUCUGUUUUGCUGGGAGAAGGACCUUCCUCGGGAGCCUGUUCUCCUGUCUCCUUUGCUCUGUUCUCAGUGCCCGGGGCUCCCUCCUCCUUCUGCAGUGACCGACCGUGGGGCGGGUGCUGGUCUUCAGGUGGGUCUUCUUGCUUCUUGUUCUUCCUCUUCCUCUCACAGGGAACUCUAAACAGAGAAGGAAUCCACCAUUAGUUCUGAGGGUCUGAAGAAUGGAACAGUCCCCAAAUGAGUGGCCAGCAUGUGGCCGUGAGAACAAGGGGUUGCACUGGAGUCCAGCUUCAUGAAGAAUGAUUUAACCUGGAUGAAAAGAAGUUGAUGCUCUCGGUAGACUCUUUCCUUCUUUUCUUCUUUCCUCCUUCCUUCCUUCCUUCCUUCCUUCCUUCCUUCCUUCCUUCCUUCUUUCUUUCUUUCUUUCUUUCCACAAUUAGGAGAAGAGUGUGACCGUGUUCUCCAGAGCAGUCAGAUAGGUGACCCACACUAAGGCCUCCGGUGGGGACACCAUGCUUUUUGUUCUGUGGGUAGAGCAACAUCUGCAGGUGAGAUUCUGCCCCCACCCUACAUUAUGUCAAUUAUUAUUAUUUUUUGACUUAUGACACAGUUCCUCAGGGACUCUCAAGCACCCAGGUCUUCUCCCCUCCAAGUCCUCCUGAUCCGAACCUGCUCACUUCUGCACCGUCUUCACUCCUUCCCCUAGCACUGAUACACCAGAAGAACCACCCGAGCCUGGAAAAUGCCUCAGGCUCUCAGGCUUCUGGGACUUGGCCUGGGUCCCUCCCUCUGGUGGGAAUGCAGCACUUCCCCAUCCUCCUGAGAAUGUCCACUUGUCACUUCCUUCAGGGCUCUGUCCAUGAUAACCCCUGACUCCCACCUGCGAACAUAGCCCUGUCCUUCCUCUGGAUCCUAGAGCCGGGCAAAUACAUUCAUUUUAUUAAUGAUCAGUUGUGCUUCAAGGGUCCGUUCUCACGCCACCUUCUGCUAUAAGAAAAGUAUGUGCUCCUCGAGGUCAGGCAUUCUGGCCACCUGUUGAACAGUGGUCUCUAACAUGCAGCACUGGAUCGUGCAAGAGGCAGAUGCCCUGCCCCUAUUUGAUGGGUGGACGGCAAAACACUGGGUGAAGACAGAGAGGAACAAAAAUGGCAGAUUCAAAAUAUCAACUAAGGGGAAGGGAAAGUCUGGAUGCCUUUUGAUCAAUCCCAGUGUUAUGGUUUAAGUAGGAAGUAUCUCCCAAAAGUUCAGGUGUGAGGCAAUGCAAGAAAGUUGAGAGGUGAAAUGAUUGGGUUAUGAGAGCCCUAACUAAUCAAAAAGUCAAUCUGCUGUAGGGAUUAACUGGGUGGUCACCUGGGCCGGUAGGGUGUGGUUGGGGGAGGUAGGUCACCAGGUGCAUGCCUUUGGGACAUAUAUUUUGACUUGGUGAGCAGAACUCUCUGCCCCCAUUUCUGGAUUGCCAUAUCCUGAGCUGCUUCCUCUCUAGACCCUUCCCCAUGCCCUUCUGCCUCUGUGCUCUGCCUCAUCUUGGGCACAGAGGAAUGAAGUGGGCCAUCUAUGGACUGAGACCCCAGAAACUGUGAGCUCCAUAUAAAGUUUUCCUCCGCUAAUUGUUCUUUUCAGGUCUUUUGGUUACCAUAGUGAACAGCUGACUAAAACACCCAGAAUAUUAACUAUGGGGGAGGACAGUCUGGGGGAGCGUUUUAGUCAGCCCCAAAUUCACAGUGGUGACGAGAAGGUCCUGUAAAGGCUGGGCCUGGGAUUGGUUAACAGUGUCCUGGGAUCAGUUAAGGGCUCAGAGAGCAGGACACGGCUUGGCUUUGGCAUUGUGGCUCUUCUCUCUGCAGAAGUACUAGGGGUAACAUCUAAGAUGGGUUUAAUUUUUUUUUCCUCAAAAAAACAAAAGAAAUUUAAUCUGAAAACCAGCAUCCUAAAGGCAGUCAUUAGAAGGUAAUGGUUAAAGAUUUAGAAAUAACAGAGUCCCUACUGGACCCUUAAUGGGAACAUCAGUCAUUGAAUUAUCUUCAUAGAUAUUGGACAGAAUUCUGAAAUUUUCUUCAUGCCAUCCAGAUUUAAAAAAAAAAAAAAAGAGAGAGUCUCAUUUUUCUUUUAUGACCUUGAGCUUGGUUUCUGAAGUUGUGGUUCGUGAAACCUCCGUCUACUUCUCUUGCUCCUCUCAAAAGACCCAGCUUAAGGCAUUAAUGAGCCUCACAGUGAUGUGUAGCUGGGCAGAUUUUUAGGCCAACAAAAUUCUUAAGCUUGGAAAAACAUCUGCUCUCUCCAUUCAUUAAUUUCCUCCAAGUUUUCCAGCAAGUGGUGAAUUUGACAACCCCAAGGCACAUUUUGGCACUUUAAGGAAAUCUAUAUUCAAUGAGCGUGUUAUUAUACAUUUCCCUAGUGCCCUCUUCAAGGAUCUGAAAGUGUCUUGCUCACUUUGGGAUUCUGGUCUAUAAAGCUGUGGCUCAGCAUUACCAGCUCCCUCCUGAAUCUGGCAGAUAUGCAAAUGAGCCCACAGGACUCAAUUAAGCCAGGCCUUGUCAAGAUGGACCGGGCAUCCAGUGCCUUUCACCAGGACAAAUUCUGAUGCUUAGAAAUUAUACUCAUAAAAUUUUUAAAAGACAAUUUUUUUUUUAAAAAGGCCCUGAGUCAAGAAACCAGGAAGGAACUGACCAGAUUUUCAUCUGUUUCAAAUUAAACGUGUUUAUUACCUUCGCAUCCCCCUUCCCAGCUCCAUGUAAUCAGUUAGAAAAUAUCUUCCGUUAAUCUUAACAGAAAGCAUAUUUUUUUCGUUAAGUUUAUCUGGCCGCUUGCUCUCAUGCACAGGGCGGCGACACCUCUUGUUUUGACUCUGAUGUGUGCUUUAUUGGAGGCAUCACUUGGUGACUGUGGGCUCCAGUCACUCAAUAUUUAUUUUUGCCAUUAUGUCUCAGGAUCUCUGCUAGAUGUUUUGAGCACAGUAGGAAAAAGACAGUAAAUAUAAAAGUCGCGUAAUUGUAGUUCAUGGAAGGUUCCAGAAAGGAAAGAAAGAAGGGAGGGCAGGACAGGGAGUAGCUGUCAAGGACCACCUUUAGUCUGGGUGGUCAGAAAAGGCUCUUAGAGGGGGAACAUGGAGCUGAGACCUGGAGAAUAAGAAUGAACCACUGAGAGUAGCUGGGGAUGGGGUGUUCCUGCAGAGGAAGAGGCAGCUGUCAUGGUUUUGAUGCGGUCAAAGCGCUUGCAAUAUUUGAGGAUGAGAAAAAGCCAGUGGGGUCAGAGUGGACAGAGGGUGGGAGACGUGGCAUGAGGUGAGCCUGCACAGAAGCCUGAUCCAGGCUAGGAGGUCGCGUCGAAAGUGUCUGUGAUUUUUGACUUUGUCCUAAAAGCAGUAGGAGCCGGGGGUGGGGGGUGGUAGAGAGUUGGAGGGUAAUGUCAUUUUAUGAAAAUUUGCAUUUUAUGAAAAUCAGGCUUUCCAGAGGCUGGGGUAGGAGCUGGUUGUCUGGGUGCAGGAUGGAGCAGUGGUUGGUGCUGGUAGAGCAUCACUGGAGAGGAGAGAGGGAGAGUUGGAGGGAGGGAGGGGUGGAAAGAGGUUUUUAGGGCACCACUGACAAACAAGGGUUGCUGACACGUUGGCUUGAGGGGCUAGGGAGGGGGAGACGAGGGAGCUGCUAGUGUUUUGGCAUGAACUAGGGUGUGGAUGAUGGAUGGGCGGGGGUCCCGGGGAAGGAAGGGCUGUUUGGUGGGAGGGUGGUGAAAGGAAACCCAUCUUGGAAACAUUAACUGGGGAGACCUGUUCCUAAGCACUCCGUAGAAGCAAAGAAGUCUUUUGGCAAAACAUCACUUGAAAGUUAACCCUUCUAAUUUAUGCCUCUAGACCUCUCAAAAAUCACAAUAGGAACAUUUGAAAGAACAUGCAGUAGAGCUUGAAACAGCCAGCGUUUGGGAAACUGGAGACAAUUUUAGGGUUGGCAAUAAAUCCAGCAAAUGACAUCGCACAUGGAAAUAUGUAAUCACAGAUUUUUCUCCUCGGCCGGCCACUUCUUCUCCGGCCAGACUUGGUGACCAUAUUACAAAUAACAUGCUAGUUGACAUGUGGGAGCUGGAAGGCUGCUUGUGCUGAGGGGGUGGCUAAAACAUCCAGAAAGAGGAUGGGGGUUAUGAUUCAAAGAGAGAAGGAUGGACUUGUGCUCAGAAGACGAUAAGAUCUACUUAUUGAAGAUUGUCCUUCGCAUUCUAAGGAGGGCAGCUCAUUUUUAAAAAGCUACUCUUUAACAUGACGUUCUCUCUGUAAAUCAAAAUAAAAAUAGCUGGGGCCCCCUGUAGCUCUUUCUACAGCCGAUUUGUUUCUGCAGAUCCUGUUUGUUUUUCCACAGGCCUGCCCUGCUCUUUGCUUGGCUUAUCUCUUCUUCUGUUUGGGGCUCUUAGGAAGCAUAAUGGUCCGAUGAUCGGUUAGCAUUCUGCAAAGAGAAAUGCGUUAUUUGGACCUCAUCACUGAGACUUGAUGUGGAAGAACAGAUUUUUCCCAGUGAGUUUUUGAUUUGUGCAUCUAGAAUCUCAAGGUCCUGCUGGGUGAAAGUCCUCUGCCAUUGGUAGAAAAAGCUUACAUUUUGGAGUCAGAGAGGCCUGAGUUCAGUCCUCAGCUCUGCUAUUUUCUAUUUUGUAACUUAAACCUUGUGACGUCAUGUCUUUGACCUCAGUGGAUAAUUAUACAUCUGUAAAUUUCAGGCUUGUUGUGAAGAAGAUAUCACACAUGUCAGGUUCUUAGCAUGGUACUUAAUCCAUGCUGGUAAUCCAAAUGGUUUAUAUCAUGUCAUUAUCAUCAGGCUUGCAAACAGAGGGUUGUUGGUUUGACAGGGGACGCCAAUUCUGGGCUGGCAACCCUGGGAAGGGGUGGAGGGUGUUGGAAGGAUGCGGUGGGUUUUGGACCUGUUAUAAUCUAGCAAAGGUUGCAAAAUGGAAACUCCUGGGGUGUUGACUUUCACUCACUCAUUUUUCAAACAGAACUAAAAACAUAAAAUGAACAGAAUUUAAAAUGGAAAAAUAUCAUAUGCAACGUGGAUUGGCAGCUUCUCUUGUAACAUCCGUUCAAUAAAAACAGGAUUCCCACCAUUCCAGAUGAUGACCCUCAAAAGAAACCUCCAAGACAAGAUGUUACCAGCUCAGGACUCCCUUCCCUGGCUCCCAAACUUCCAAGAAAAACGGAACACAAAUCCUAUAGGAUCACUGCUAAAAAAACAGAAGUGAAAACACCACACAACCCAUCCGUAAAAUGGAGAUGGCAAUAAUGUUUAUCCCCACAGAAGGUCCUUUUGAGGAUUAAAUGACAUCAAAAAAAAACAUUCCCCACACUCAGAGACAAAAAAAAAAAAAAACACAGCAAGCAACGGUCCACGAUCAUCGAGCCACUCCCCGAAUUAGUAAAAUUGAACUGGAACACACAACAACCUGGGCAACUGUUUGCAAACAAAAAAAACAAGAACGCAUUCUUCUGGGGCAGGAAGAGAUGACUUGGACCAUGUGGUAUCAGCAGAUGGAGACUGGGACAUUCAGGCCAAAAAGACUGACAACUGUGUAACCAGGAACAGGACAGGAGGGAGAAAAAAAAAAAAUGGCUCCUAAGGUCAAUGCGAGGAGCAACCAGAAUCACGGAGGUGCUGUUUACUGAGACGUGUUGGAUGAGCAUUUAAUUCAUGGUCCACAUUACAGACAGCCCUCUGUAUACAAACGUUCCCAACCUACAAAUUCAACCAACCGCAGACUGAAAUAUUUGGGAGAAAAACUGAGUUUUCAGUUGCACUGAACUAAGUAUCAUAAGUACUCUAGAGAUGAUUUAAAAUACACGGGAAGAUAUGUGUAGUUCCCACAAAAACAAUGGUGCUCUAUAUCACGGACUUAAAUGUAUGUAUAUUCUGGUACCCCUAAGGUGACCCAGGAACACCUAGAUAGGCACUGAUAGAAAUAAAACCGGUAAAGACAGACAAAUGUUACCAGUAUAUAAUAGUUUUGAAAAAUAGCGUAGUUUUUCUUUUUCAUACUUGCUUGUACUUGACCCCCCUGUUCCUUUCCCUUCCAGGGAAGUGUUUGACAGGGCACCUUCUGUUUGCCUCCUGGUGCUGACACGUUUGGAUCAUGUCAGUGGCUCACUGGCCUCUGGCGUCCGGUUGGGUUAGGCCGAUGGACAGCUUCAUCAGGAAGGCAAAAGGAGGAAGGAUGACUGACACUGACCAGAGAUUAACCUAACAAAAGAGGUGAAGAAUGUGUACAAUGACAACUACAAAACACUAAAGAAAGAAAUUAAAGAAGACCUAAGAAGAUGGAAAGACCUCCCAUGUUCUUAGAUAGGUAGAAUUAAUAUUGUCAAAAUGGCCAUACUUCCAAAAGCACUAUACGAAUUCAAUGCAAUUCCCAUCAAAAUUUCAAUGUAGAAAUUGCAUUUCUCUAAUUCCAAUUAGAGAAAUGCAAAAAGAAAUAGAAAAAGCUGUCAUGAAAUUCAUUUGAGAAAAUGACAGGCCCAGAAUAGUCAAAUAAUCCUUAGAAGAAAAACAAAAAAAGAAGCUGUAGGUAUCACAAUACCAGACCUUAAAUUAUACUGCCGCAGUCAGGCUGCAGCAAAAUAACCGGGGGGUGACGAACAACUUGUGUACAUUGAUACAGCAGGAGUGGGAGCCGUUUAUUGUAGGACAGGAGGGGUAUAUAUACAUUCCACACAGCUUAUCUAAUUAACAUAAACUAGAUACAGGAGUCAACCAAUAAGGAAUCUCCACACUUAAUGGCUCGCUGGAGUUACUUCACAAACCACUCCCUCUCGCAAAAUGCCAGGCGCCAUCUUGACUCGUUUACAGACUCUAACAUUAUACUACAGAGCUAUAGUAACAAAGGCGGCAUUGUAUUGGCAUGAAAAUAGACUUGUAGACCAAUGGUACAGAACAGAGGACACAGAGACAAACCCACAUAAAUACGGUAAUCUCAUAUUAGACAAAGGACCAAAACUUUACACUGGAGAAAAGAUAGCUUCUUCAACAAGGUGCUGGGAAAAAAUGGAAAUCCAUAUGUAAUAGAAUGAAAGUUAACCCCUAUCUCUCACCUUGCACAAAAAUCAAUGUGAAGUGGAUCAAAGACCUAGAAAUUAGACCAGAAAUCCUGCACAUACUAGAAGAAAAUGUACACUCAACACUUCAACAUAGUGGAUCAGGAACUGACUUCCUUAACAAGACUUCUAAGGAGCAAGAAAUAAAAUCAAGAAUCAAUAAAUGGGGUGCAUUUAACUAAACAGCUUCUUCACAGCAAAGGAAACAAUCAAGAGUGUGAAGAGAGAGCCCAAAGAAUGGGAGAAAAAUUUUUGUCACCUGUACCUUAGGUGGGGCAUUAAUUUCCAGGAUAUACAAAGAAUUCAAGAAACUCAACACCAAAAAACCUCCAAUAACCCAAUCAAUAAGUGGACGAAGGAUCUGAAUAGACCCUUCUAAAAAGGAAAAAAAUAUGAAUCGAUAACAAAUAUAUGAAAACAUGUUCAACAUCUCUAGCAAUUAGAGAAAUGCAAAAUAAAACUACACUGAGAUUUCAUCUCGUUCUAGUCAGAAUGGUAACUACCAAUACAAGCAACAAUAAAUAUUGGCAAGGAAGUGGAGGGAAAAGGUAUGAUCAUACAUUGUUGGUGGGACUGCAGAUUGGUGCAAUCACUCUGGAAAGCAAUAUGGAGAGCCCUCAAAAAACUCAGAAUGGAGCCAUCAAUUUGAUCCAGUUAUCCCACUCUUCAGCAUGUAGCCAAAGAAUUUAAAAAUCAGCACACUAUAGUGAUGCAGCCACAUCAAUGUUUAUAGCAGCACAAUUCACAAUAGCUAAGCUAUGGAGGCAACCUAGGUGCCCUUCAACAGACGAAUGGAUAAAGAGAAUGCAGUACAUAUACACAGUGGAAUAUUACCCAGCCAUACAGAAGAACGACUUUAUGGCAUUUGCCAGUAAAUGAAUGGAACAUGCUAAAUAAAUAAGCCAAUCCCAAAUAAUCAAAGGUUGAAUGUUUUUGUUGAUAUGUGGAAGCUACAAUAAAGGAAAGAAGGAGAAGAAAAGUUCAGUAGACUAGACUAAGGGAAAUGAAGGGAAGGGAGGGAAGAUGGGAAUAGGAAAAGAGAUAGG
rnacentral:lncRNA from 1 species